GGGCCGUUAGCUCAACUGGCAGAGCAAGGGGCUUUUAACCCCUAGGUUCUGGGUUCGAGUCCCAGGCGGCCCA
rnacentral:tRNA from 1 species